CUCUUGGUAUCGGGUAUACAUUUUAGUUUUCUGACAUUUUUGUAAAGUCUUCAUUUUUAUCUUUUGACUUUAAAUACUUCAUUAUUAUUUACUAUUGUCCUCAUUUGAUAUAAGUUUAUCAAUACUAUUAUAAACUAUAGUUGAUAAUAAUUUUAAGCUAUAACGUAUAAAAAUGUUACUAUCUAAAGAUGUAUUUAUGUCAACUGUACAAGGGUUUCAGGGUCCCUUCUAGUCCUGUUGUAGACAUAGAUUUGUAGGUCAGUGUUUUUCUUGUCUAUUUUUGCUACUAAUUAACUGUAACACGUUUAUAACUAUUAAUAUCUUGAACUGAAAGUA